rnacentral:rRNA from 1 species
AUUGAACGCUGGCGGCAGGCCUAACACAUGCAAGUCGCACGAGUGGCGGACGGGUGAGUAAUGUCUGGGAAACUGCCCGAUGGAGGGGGAUAACUCCUGGAAACGGUAGCUAAUACCGCAUACCAUCGGAUGUGCCCAGAUGGGAUUAGCUAGUAGGUGGGGUAACGGCUCACCUAGGCGACGAUCCCUAGCUGGUCUGAGAGGAUGACCAGCAACACUGGAACGGAGCCACGGUCCAGACUCCUACGUGAUGCAGCAGUGGGGAAUAGUGCACAAUGGGCGCAAGCCUGAUGCAGCCAUGCCGCGUGUAUGAAGAAGGCCUUCGGGUUGUAAAGUACUUGCAGCGAGGAGGCGUUACUCGCAGAAGAAGCACCGGCUAACUCCGUGCCAGCAGCCGCGGUAAUUC